rnacentral:rRNA from 1 species
AUUGAACGCUGGCGGCAGGCUUAACACAUGCAAGUCGAACGUGUGGCGGACGGGUGAGUAAUGCUUGGGAAUCUAGCUUAUGGAGGGGGAUAACUACGGGAAACUGUAGCUAAUACCGCGUACCAUAGGAUUAGCCCAAGUGGGAUUAGGUAGGUGGUGAGGUAAAGGCGCACCAAGCCGACGAUCGCUAGCUGGUCUGAGAGGAUGACCAGCCACAAUGGGACUGAGACACGGCCAAGACUCCUACGGGAGGCAGCAGUGGGGAAUAUUGCGCAAUGGGGGCAACCUGACGCAGCCAUGCCGCGUGAAUGAAGAAGGCCUUCGGGUUGUAAAGUUCUUUCGGUAGCGAGGCGUUAACUACAGAAGAAGCACCGGCUAACUCCGUGCCAGCCGCCGCGGUAAUUC